GGGAUUAGCGUGUAUCACUCUACCAAACACACCGUGGUCUCCCGGCCUCACCUGCCUCCCAGAUCAUUAGCUGCAGCUCAGUCGCCACUCUGGCAGAACACUUCCAUGCAGACAAGCGUGGCCUGGAAUCACACCUCAGGGCAUGGGACCUGGCUUCUAGAGCAUCUCCAGGAAGGGGCCAUUGGAAAGCAGAAGAUAGGAGAAAGCUAGCCAGCCAGCUUUCUCUAUCGCCUCUUCCCUUCAAAGGAUGGAUUUCCCACAAAACCUGUCCAGAGAAGUUUUGCCUGGCUAAGCAGGUUUGUCUGAUGCCCCCUUGUGGGCUGCUGUGAAGCCAUGGCCAUCACAAUGAUGGUGCCCCAUCACCAUGCGUGCCUCCCAUCCUUCCCUGCCUUUCUCCCCUUUGCCCUCACUCUCAUUGCCCUGGGACUGUACCUCCUAAAUAAGCAUCAGCACUUCAUCCCUGCCCCAGGCUCUCAUUUCUAGGAACCUCAGGCAAAGAUAACCACUCCAACAAUUAUUGCUUCUAGGCUUCUUUGCGUCUUUCAUAUUUAGGGUACCAGAGAAGACCCAAUCUUUGUGGAAUAGAGUUCAGCUUGAACUGAAACCUCUUGGAUACUGUGGUAGGAAGAAUGCUCAGAUGGCCUCCAAGAGGCUCAGCUCCUCUAGAAUUCCCUCCCCCUCAGAGUGAGGAAGUAGAAUAUGGGGACUUUGAACAAGCUGGCAUAUUACUCCCAUGAGUAUGUUACAUUAUAAGACAUAAGAGUUUUGUGGAUGUUACUGUAGAAGGUCCCUAAUCAACUGACUUUGACUUUGAGUUAAUCAAAGGGGAGAUUAUACUGCAUGGGCCUGAUUUAAACAGGUGAGCCCUUAAAAGGGAUUCAGCCCUUUCUAAGAUCAAAGAGAUUUCUCCUGCUGGCCUUGAAGGUGCAAACUGCCAUGCUGUAGAAGGGCCAUGUGGCAGGGGACGGCAGGCAGGCUCUAGGAGCUACGGGAUUCAGCCAACAAGAGAGCAGGGGCCUCGGUCCUACAGACACAAGUAACAACAGGUAACAACAAUCUGAGAGAGCUUGGGAGCGGAUGUCUUCCUAACUGAGCCUCCAGGACCAAAGAGCUGGCUUCAUGUUCCAGAUGAUGAAUCUAUAAGAAGAUGGAGCCAUCAUCAUCCUGGAUCUCUGAGGACCACAUGGAAGACAGUUGCCCUGAAGAGUCUCUCAGGCCCCUUUUACUUUGUAUGGGGAACUAUAUCUCCAGCUUGGCUGCCACAUUCUCAACAAAGUGGACAAGAGUUUAUGAUGGAACUGUCAAAGGAGUAAAGUCUUAGACCAGAGGAGCUGCAUGGAAAAGAAUGACACAGGCCCCCUGGUAUCCCUGCCCAGGGGUGAUAGAUGGGAUAAGAUUCACACCUAAUGCGGCCCUAAGGAGAAGGAGAGCAAAGGAGGGACAAAUCCUGUGGGCUCUAAAAAGCGCGUCAGAAUGGAGAGCCGCAUUCACCGCAGAUCCAAAAAGCACAUUCCCAAGCUGGGUGGUAAAUUCUGUACUGCCUGCUGUAGAAAUGCAAAUUGCCAUAAUAAAUGCCGAUUA